GCGAGAAUUCUUCCGCAAUGGACGAAAGUCUGACGGAGCAACGCCGCGUGAGUGAUGAAGGUUUUCGGAUCGUAAAGCUCUGUUGUUAGGGAAGAACAAGUGCAAGAGUAACUGCUUGCACCUUGACGGUACCUAACCAAAAAGCCACGGCUAACUACGUGCCAGCAGCCGCGGUAAAUAAAAAAAAA
rnacentral:rRNA from 1 species